CACAUCCCGGAUUGCAACACAAGUGAUCGAUCUCCCGACACUACUUCUCUCCUUUCCAUUUAACCGCUGAAGGAGAGCGUCGUCUCUGGAUGGGAGCAAGAGGCGACGGUUAAUUUUUCUAGACUCCAGCGACGCCGGUAGGAACCGACACCGAACAGAGGCCAUGCCACCCGAAUUACAGGUGAAGCAGAGAAAACCAACCAGACGCUGGGUUGUAAGCAGAGAGUGGUGCGACAGAAUUAAAAGCAAGACAACUUACUUCUA